GCUGGUUGAUCCUGCCAGAUGCGACCGCUAUUGGAGUUCGAUUAAGCCAUGCGAGUCGAGGGUCUUAGGGACUCGGCAUACUGCUCAGUAACACGUGGAUAACCUGCCCUAUGCAAGGGGAUAACCUCGAGAAAUUGAGAAUAAUACCCUAUAGGUCACCAUGCCUGGAACGGUUGGUGACUAAAAGUUCAGGCGGCAUAGGAUGGGUCUGCGGCGUAUCAGGUUGUAGUGGGUGUAAUGUACCUACUAGCCAUUGACGCGUACGGGUGUUGGGAGACAUAGCCCGGAGAUGGAUUCUGAGACACGAAUCCAGACCCUACGGGGUGCAGCAGGCGCGAAAACUUCACACUGCAGGAAACUGUGAUGAGGGAACUCCAAGUGGUGCGGCAAAAUGUCGCAUCUUUUCUUAACUUUUAACAGGUUUUGGAAUAAGGGCUGGGAAAGACCGGUGCCAGCCGCCGCGGUAAUACCGGCAGCUCAAGUGGUCGUCGCUUUUAUUGGGCCUAAAACGUCCGUAGCCUGUUUAGUAAAUCCGUGGGUAAAUCAACGAGCUUAACUCGUUGACUUCUGCGGACACUGCUAGACUUGG
rnacentral:rRNA from 1 species